rnacentral:rRNA from 1 species
UACGUAGGGUGCAAGCGUUAAUCGGAAUUACUGGGCGUAAAGCGUGCGUAGGCGGCUAUGUAAGACAGAUGUGAAAUCCCUGGGCUUAACCUAGGAACUGCAUUUGUGACUGCAUUGCUAGAGUGUGGUAGAGGGAGAUGGAAUUCCGCAUGUAGCAGUGAAAUGCGUAGAUAUGCGGAGGAACACCAAUGGCGAAGGCGGCUCCACUGGCCCGGAUACUGACGCUGGAUGACACGAAAGCGUGGGGAUCAAACAG